UGGGGAAUUUUGGACAAUGGGCGAAAGCCUGAUCCAGCCAUGCCGCGUGAGUGAAGAAGGCCUUCGGGUUGUAAAGCUCUUUUAGUCGGAAAGAAAGAGUUGCAAUGAAUAAUUGUGAUUUAUGACGGUACCGACAGAAAAAGCACCGGCUAACUACGUGCCAGCAGCCGCGGUAAUACGUAGGGUGCGAGCGUUAAUCGGAAUUACUGGGCGUAAAGGGCGCGUAGGCGGCGCGGUAAGUCACUUGUGAAAUCUCUGAGCUUAACUCAGAACGGCCAAGUGAUACUGCUGUGCUAGAGUGCGGAAGAGGCAACCGGAAUUCUUGGUGCAGCGGUGAAAUGCGUAGAUAUCAAGAGGAACACCUGAGGCGAAGGCGGGUUGCUGGGCCGACACUGACGCUGAUGCGCGAAAGCCAGGGGAGCAAACG
rnacentral:rRNA from 1 species